UGGCGGCGUGCCUAAUACAUGCAAGUCGAGCGAGAAGCAAGAAGAUGAAACUUCGGUAGAUUCAUCUUGCGGACAGCGGCGGACGGGUGAGUAACGCGUAGGCAACCUGCCUCUCACAGAGGGAUAGCCAUUGGAAACGAUGAUUAAAACCUCAUAAUAUCGUAGCAACACAUGUUGUAACGGUCAAAGAUUUAUCGGUGAGAGAUGGGCCUGCGUCUGAUUAACUAGUUGGUGAGGUAACGGCUCACCAAGGUGACGAUCAGUAGCCGACCUGAGAGGGUGAUCGGCCACAUUGGAACUGAGACACGGUCCAAACUUCUACGGAAGGCAGCAGUAGGGAAUCUUGCACAAUGGACGAAAGUCUGAUGCAGCAACGCCGCGUGAAGGAUGACGGCCUUCGGGUUGUAAACUUCUGUUCUUGGGGAAGAAACAAAUGACGGUACCCAAGGAGCAAGCCCCGGCUAACUACGUGCCAGCAGCCGCGGUAAUACGUAGGGGGCAAGCGUUAUCCGGAAUUAUUGGGCGUAAAGAGUGCGUAGGUGGUUACCUAAGCGCAAGGUUUAAUACAGUGGCUCAACUACUGUCUGCCUUGCGAACUGGGCUACUUGAGUGCAGGAGGGGAAAGCGGAAUUCCUAGUGUAGCGGUGAAAUGCGUAGAUAUUAGGAGGAACACCGGCGGCGAAGGCGGCUUUCUGGACUGUAACUGACACUGAGGCACGAAAGCGUGGGGAGCAAACAGGAUUAGAUACCCUGGUAGUCCACGCCGUAAACGAUGAGCACUAGGUGUUGGGGUCGAAUGAUCUCAGUGCCGCAGUUAACGCAAUAAGUGCUCCGCCUGGGGAGUACGCUCGCAAGAGUAAAACUCAAAGGAAUUGACGGGGACCCGCACAAGCAGCGGAGCAUGUGGUUUAAUUCGAAGCAACGCGAAGAACCUUACCAGGACUUGACAUCCUACUGACAGGAUCUUAACCGAUCCCUUCUUCGGACAGUAGAGACAGGUGGUGCAUGGUUGUCGUCAGCUCGUGUCGUGAGAUGUUGGGUUAAGUCCCGCAACGAGCGCAACCCUUGUCGUCAGUUACUAACAUUCAGUUGAGGACUCUGACGAGACUGCCGAGGUCAACUCGGAGGAAGGUGGGGACGACGUCAAAUCAUCAUGCCCCUUAUGUUCUGGGCUACACACGUGCUACAAUGGUCGGUACAGAGAGAUGCAAUACCGUGAGGUGGAGCAAAACACUAAAACCGAUCCCAGUUCGGAUUGCAGGCUGAAACUCGCCUGCAUGAAGUUGGAGUUGCUAGUAAUCGCAGAUCAGAAUGCUGCGGUGAAUGCGUUCCCGGGUCUUGUACACACCGCCCGUCACACCAUGGAAGUUGGGGGUGCCCAAAGUUGGACAUUUAAUAGUUUGCCUAAGGCAAAACCAAUGACUGGGGUGAAGUCGUAACAAGGUAGCCGUAUCAGAAGGUGCGCUGA
rnacentral:rRNA from 2 species